UCGAAUGAUGCUUUUCGUAUUAUAUACGCUGGAAAUUACCGACUGAGACCUUUGGUUUCUGAACGAUAACAAAUGGCUAUUUCUGACU
rnacentral:snoRNA from 1 species